rnacentral:misc_RNA from 1 species
AAGUCGUAACAAGGUUUCCGUAGGUGAACCUGCGGAAGGAUCAUUAAUGAAUUUGAAAGGAGGUUGUUGCUGGCCCCCUCCACUUUGGGGGGCAUUGUGCACGCCUCUGAUCUCAUCCACCUCUCACACCCCUGUGCACUCUUGCGUGAGCCUGCUCCAAUGUGGGCUUGCGUUCUUUUAUCAUAAACUCUUAUGCAUGUCUCUGAAUGUUUGUUGCUUUGACGCAAUCUUGUACAACUUUCAACAACGGAUCUCUUGGCUCUC